UACGGGAUGCUGCAGUGGGGAAUAUUGCGCAAUGGGCGAAAGCCUGACGCAGCGACGUCGCGUGAGGGAAGAAGGCUCUCGGGUCGUAAACCUCUGUCAGGGGGGAAGAAACCCUUAAGCUCGAAUAGGGCUUUUGGCUGACGGUACCCCCAGAGGAAGCACCGGCUAAUUCAGUGCCAGCAGCCGCGGUAAUACUGAAGGUGCGAGCGUUAAUCGGAAUCACUGGGCGUAAAGCGUGCGUAGGCGGCGCGGUCAGUCAGAUGUGAAAGCCCUCGGCUCAACCGAGGAAUUGCAUUUGAUACUGCCGUGCUAGAGUCUCGGAGAGGUUGGCGGAAUUCCAGGUGUAGGAGUGAAAUCCGUAGAUAUCUGGAGGAACAUCAGUGGCGAAGGCGGCCAACUGGACGAGUACUGACGCUGAGGUACGAAAGCGUGGGGAGCAAACAGGAUUAGAUACCCCGGUAGUC
rnacentral:rRNA from 1 species